rnacentral:rRNA from 1 species
CUAGCAUAUCAAUAAGCGGAGGAAAAGAAACUAACAAGGAUUCCCCUAGUAACUGCGAGUGAAGCGGGAAAAGCUCAAAUUUAAAAUCUGGCAGUCUCUGGCUGUCCGAGUUGUAAUCUAGAGAAGUGAUGCCCGCGCUGGACCGUGUACAAGUCUCCUGGAAUGGAGCGUCAUAGAGGGUGAGAAUCCCGUCUCUGACACGGACUACCAGGGCUUUGUGGUAUCCUCUCAAAGAGUCGAGUUGUUUGGGAAUGCAGCUCUAAAUGGGUGGUAAAUUCCAUCUAAAGCUAAAUAUUGGCGAGAGACCGAUAGCGAACAAGUACCGUGAGGGAAAGAUGAAAAGAACUUUGGAAAGAGAGUUAAACAGUACGUGAAAUUGCUGAAAGGGAAACGCUUGAAGUCAGUCGCGUUAGCUGGGAAUCAGCCUCGCUCUUGCGUGGUGUACUUUCUGGUUGACGGGUCAGCAUCAAUUUUGACUGCUGGAAAAAGGCUUAGGGAAUGUGGCAGCUUCGGCUGUGUUAUAGCCCUUGGUCACAUACAGCGGUUGGGAUUGAGGAACUCAGCACGCCGCAAGGCCGGGUUUCGACCACGUUCGUGCUUAGGAUGCUGGCAUAAUGGCUUUAAGCGACCCGUCUUGAAACACGGACCAAGGAGUCUAACAUGCCUGCGAGUGUUUGGGUGGUAAACCCGAGCGCGUAAUGAAAGUGAAAGUUGAGAUCCCUGUCGUGGGGAGCAUCGACGCCCGGACUUGAACUUUUGUGACGGAUCCGCGGUAGAGCAUGUAUGUUGGGACCCGAAAGAUGGUGAACUAUGCCUGAAUAGGGUGAAGCCAGAGGAAACUCUGGUGGAGGCUCGUAGCGAUUCUGACGUGCAAAUCGAUCGUCAAAUUUGGGUAUAGGGGCGAAAGACUAAUCGAAACCAUCUAGUAGCUGGUACUGCCGUU